UACGUAGGGGGCAAGCGUUGUCCGGAUUUAUUGGGCGUAAAGAGCGUGUAGGCGGCCAGGUAGGUCCGCUGUGAAAACUCGAGGCUUAACCUCGAGCUGUCGGUGGAAACCAUCUGGCUAGAGUCCGGAAGAGGAGAGUGGAAUUCCUGGUGUAGCGGUGAAAUGCGCAGAUAUCAGGAAGAACACCAAUGGCGAAGGCAGCUCUCUGGGACGGUACUGACACUGAGACGCGAAAGCGUGGGGAGCGAACAGG
rnacentral:rRNA from 1 species